GAGAGGCACAGCCCAGUGUGGGAGGAGAAAAGGCACAGCCUCCAUUUGGGGCAGUAGCAGAAAGAAACUCCCUUGGUACAACCAAAACUUUCACUGCUGGCCCUGAAAUUUGGCAAAUGGGACUUGGGAAAAAAAACACCUUUUUUCCCCAGGUGGAAUACUCCAAACAAGUGAAGUCAGAGACAGCACUUCUUUCUCUUACACACCUGCAGCUCAUUUUCUCAGAGGAACGGCUCACCACAAAUAGCACAGAGAAGCUCUCCCUGAGCCAGCACACUCGUGCUGGAGCCUUUGCCUUGGGUGGCUUUUGGAGGAUUUUGAUGGCUUUUAGAGGAUGUGAGUGUACAGUGUUGGCAACAUCCCACUAAUAUGUGGUGGUGCUUGUUAAGAGGUGUGUCGAGCAGAAAAGCUGGAUUAAGCAAGAGAGGAAUGAUGCAGCAGGAACAACAUCCUUUGACUCUCUGCAUGGAUGCAGCAGCGAUGUGGAGAAAUUCUGUCGUUCGCUCGCAAACCGCGCACCGAGCUGAGGAGCUGGAUUGCACCCAGAGUGAAACGCGGCUCCCUUUCUCCUCCUCCUCCCCUCAUUGCUUCUCAUGGUGGUGGCUGCAGAAGCAGCUGCUGAAGGCAGUGUCUGAUGCCAGGCUGAAGCAGCUCCUCUGCUCGCCGCGGCUGCUGUGUUUGCGCUUCUCCUCCUGCUGCGGGGACGCACCGGCGCACCACAGCCGUCCCCAGACAGCAGCCAAGGGCUGGGGGCGCUUUUCCAGUGUCUGCAGGUCUGUGGUUCAGUAAUUAGACAAGCAGGGGUCUCUGUCUGGUCCUCCUGCAACACGAGGUUCAACAGCUCUAAGUGCAUCAACAGCUGCAUUGUCGUAUCAACGUCAACGCCUUUUGAUGUUGGUAAGAGUUUUGUGAUAGACAUUGGCGCUCUGAGGUAUUUUUGGUUUUAUUGACAGCUCAUUGCAGAAGUCUGAAAGACUGUGGGGCUUUAUGAUAAAUAUCAAAUUGAUUAUGUGCCGGUGGGGCUUAGCACAGCCCCAGCAUAUGUCAUUAUUCCUGGGGUUUACAUUUAUGCAGCACAGGCCCGGUAAUGGCCAACUGACUCGAACUGGGACUGUGUAUGAGCUGUGCUUGAGAAAAACUGCAGGACUGAAUUGACUUUGAGUUGUCAUUUCCCCUGAAUUGCUCAAACCCUCCCACCCCACUCCCGAAAUACAGUUAAAUGAUUAAAAUGACUGCCUAGACACAGCUGUUAAUAAAAUGUUAAUGAAAUCAGAUUAA